rnacentral:snoRNA from 1 species
AGGUCAUUUCAAGGGGAGUUUGUGGGACUGAAACGAGAAGCUCUUAAUGCUAUGACCAAAGAAUGAAAUUCUCUAAAGCACGACAUAAACACUCAAUAGUGUUUUGUUUUUUUCCUGAGAGAGAAACAAGA